GCACAGGAGCCGCCGCCAACCCUGCCCUCGACCGUGGCACCGUCGGCGUCCCUCCUGUCGCUCGUGCCACCGCCGCCGGCGACCCUCGCACAGCCGCAGCCGCCUGCUCUCCUCUGCUGCCCCAGCGCCGAGCAUCGCCCCGUCGAAUAGGCGCUCCCCACGGCAGCGCCUCCUCCCUGGAUCAGCCACUGACGGCCAUCAACGCCGACGACCCAAUCCAUAGGAAGGUAACCCCGGGGCUUAAUCUUCCGCCGCCGCUGCCGCCGAGGACGGCCCUGUUUUUCCAUGUACAUCCUCUGACCCCGUUAUCCUGCACAGUCGUCCGCCGACGCCGAGGUCGGAGAAGGUCCGGUGUCUAUAACUGUCGAUUCCGAAAGCUCAACAGGUCAAGUGACCUUGUAGAAAAUUUUGGUAUGUAAAAGUUUCACUUAUGAUCAACAUGUUCUUGUGGUUAAAAUUUAGAAAUAGUAUCUUAACCAGUAUAAUCCGAAUGAUAGAGGUAGUGUCGUACAGGAAAUAAUCUUUUUUGCUGUAGAAAACAGUCAGUAGAUAUCAUAUCUUGUUUAAGUGUUCAGUUGCCGGUUAUGGUUUGAACACUGGAGAGUGUGCUUUUUGUUUUGAUACAAUUCAGUUAGCAUGGAUGGUGUUUGUGAUUGGGUGAUGAAUUUCACCGUGGCAACUACGGACAAACGUAAUAUUGGGAAGACUAUGCAGUGUGCUUUUUGUUCCGAUGAAUACAGUUCUGUUAGCUUGGAGGGACUUUGUGAUUGGGUGAUAAAUUGUAGGUGUAAAGAUAAGAAUCUGGUUCUAAUGGGGCAGCAACAGUUAUUUGUUAUUUUUGGAAAAAGAGGACCGAUGCUUUGCUUCAGAAAUAUCUUCCCUAUGGAUUCUAGGCGUUUAGUUGAUAAAGUUACAGAGAAAAGACUUGUGUGAUGUGCAGGUAGCAGGCUGCACAAAAAUGUUGGGUGGGCAAGGAAUUGAAGGAUGGAAAAACUUUCGAGCUUCGCUGGAAGUUCCGCGAUCGAUGAGCUUCUUUUAAAUCAGUCGCUUGUUUUGUAAGGGUGUUGGAGUGAAUUGAUCCCUUACAAGGAUAGCUUGCUUUGUUUCGGCAGAGAGCCAUCGUUGUUGCUCUGCUUUGCAUGUUGUUACGUCUUGCUGAUGGUUUAUGUUUUUUUUCUCUGAACUGGACAAACCUAAGCUUGUAUUAUCCGUUUCAUGCUGAAUGACAGUGGCUCACCUGAGCUCCUUAAUUUUACGAAAAUAUCUAUCUUUCGCUCAAAAUAUCUACUCCUAUUGAUUUUUAUUGAGUGGAACUUAAUAGAGUUGGACUUCAGGGAUUUAUAAGGUUGCAAUUGUCUUUUUAUUCUAGCAAAGUUGCUGCCUCAUUUAUUGAGGAAACUGUUACUAAUACUUUUGACCAAAAGAAGUAGGACUAAUGUUUGCUCACAUGGUCUCCUAUGAACAGUGAUUGUGGGCGUCCACGAUGGACGUUGCGGUGCAGGGACUUGUUUCAACAGCGGCAUUUUGAGGUCAUGCAUAUGAAGAUAGGAAAUACUGUUGAUGAGGUGGAGUUGAUCGGAAUGGGAUGUGUUUGGGAUCAUAUUGGGUUCCCCUGCUGCUAUCUCUGCACAGACGGUUGAGCGAGACCGCAGUUUUUUGCUCUUGCAGAUGCAUUCUUGGAUCAUUUCUUUUGACUAUAGUGAAUGCCUAAUCCUACGGUUAUAUGAGCAACAUUGUUUUGAUGAACUAGGCCGUGUGGUUUUCCAUCCCUGUAGCUUGAUUGCAUUCUUCAAAUGUGGCAAAGUAACGAUCGAGUUGCAUUUUUUUAUUUGUGGGGGUGUGUGUGUGUAUUGGGGGUUGUAUUGCUCGCCUUGUGGUUUACAGAAAUUUAGACGGGUGCAUGACCUUGUUGGGCGUUGUAUUGUCGGGGCUCCUGAAGAUUGAUAAAGGUGGGGCUGCUAGAUUGCACACCUAUUCUUGUCAUUGCCUCGUUAUAUAUUUUGUUGGUGCAUAAUACAAUGAGAUCACAAUUGC
rnacentral:lncRNA from 1 species